GGGGGGAUUCCAGAGUGGCUAAAUGGGACAGACUGUAAAUCUGUUGGCGUACGCCUUCGGAGGUUCGAAUCCUCCUCCCCCCA
rnacentral:tRNA from 1 species